CCUCUUCAAAUUUCCAUGUCCUUUAACCUCUUUUGAGAGGUCCUUUGGCCUUCUGAGUCCUUUGCCUUACAUAUUGGAGAGGGGGAAAGCGUUUCAGGGUAGGAUUGAUUAACUUUGAGACGGGGUGGGGUUUCAGAUUCAAUUUUUGGUCGUUCUAGUUGCAUCCGAGGGUCGUGAGUUGCAGAGUUGUGGAUGGGAACAUGAGAUGGUCACCAGGGACCAGUUUGAGGGAGUUCCAGUGAGUUUAGGGUUUGGGUCCAAUCUUCGAUUUGAUAUUCGAAGAGGUCUGGGAGGAUUCGAGGGAUGGGGUUUAGAUGGUUGGGAAGAGGGGGAAGAGGCGGUUCAGGUGUUUUAUUUCGGGCCAAUUUGGAGUUGGUGUCACUGGAGCCGGCGGAGCCGGCGACCCUUCUGUCGAACAUUCGACGAGUUGGGG
rnacentral:lncRNA from 1 species